rnacentral:rRNA from 1 species
UACGUAGGGGGCAAGCGUUGUCCGGAAUCAUUGGGCGUAAAGAGCGUGUAGGCGGCCAGAUAAGUCCGCUGUGAAAUCUCGAGGCUCAACUUCGAGCUGUCGGUGGAAACUGUCUGGCUAGAGUCCGGAAGAGGAGAAUGGAAUUCCUGGUGUAGCGGUGAAAUUCGUAGAUAUUCGGAAGAACACCAGUGGCGAAGGCGGCUCGCUGGACUGGUAUUGACGCUGAUGUGCGAAAGCGUGGGGAGCAAACAGG